rnacentral:rRNA from 1 species
UAGGUUGAGCCUACGUCGGAUUAGCUAGUUGGUGGGGUAAAGGCCUACCAAAGCGACGAUCCGUAGCUGGUCUGAGAGGAUGACCAGCCACACUGGGACUGAGACACGGCCCAGACUCCUACGGGAGGCAGCAGUGGGGAAUCUUGGACAAUGGGGGAAACCCUGAUCCAGCGAUACCGCGUGUGUGAAGAAGGCCUUCGGGUUGUAAAGCA